rfam:Oryza barthii chromosome 2, whole genome shotgun sequence.
UUUAAGUGCAACCAUAAGUUUUUCACCUAAUUUUAAUCAUUCGUCUUAUUUAAAAUUUUUUAUAAUUAGUAUUUUUUUAUUAUAAGAUGAUAAAAUAUGAAUAGUAUUUUGCUCGUGACUUAAGUUUUUAAAUUUUUUCAAAUAAAACGGACGGUCAAAAUUCGGCGUGGAAAACUAUGGCUGCACUUAAA